GGCCUAACACAUGCAAGUCGAACGCCCCGCAAGGGGAGUGGCAGACGGGUGAGUAACGCGUGGGAAUCUACCCAGAUCUUCGGAACAACUGAGGGAAACUUCAGCUAAUACCGGAUACGCCCUACGGGGGAAAGAUUUAUCGGUUCUGGAUGAGCCCGCGUUGGAUUAGCUAGUUGGUGAGGUAACGGCUCACCAAGGCGACGAUCCAUAGCUGGUCUGAGAGGAUGAUCAGCCACACUGGGACUGAGACACGGCCCAGACUCCUACGGGAGGCAGCAGUGGGGAAUAUUGGACAAUGGGCGAAAGCCUGAUCCAGCCAUGCCGCGUGAGUGAUGAAGGCCUUAGGGUUGUAAAGCUCUUUUGCCCGGGAAGAUAAUGACGGUACCGGGAGAAUAAGCCCCGGCUAACUUCGUGCCAGCAGCCGCGGUAAUACGAAGGGGGCUAGCGUUG
rnacentral:rRNA from 1 species